rnacentral:rRNA from 1 species
GAUGAACGCUGGCGGCGUGCCUAACACAUGCAAGUCGAACGGGGGAGCAUGAGGAAAAAAGCGCUUGCGUUUUCGGAAUCAUGUUUUCCAGUGGCGGACGGGUGAGUAACGCGUGGGCAACCUGCCCUGUACAGGGGGAUACCAUCUGGAAACAGAUGCUAAUACCGCAUAAUCGCAUCAGCCCGCAUGGGCAGAUGCGGAAAGGGAGCAAUCCCGGUACAGGAUGGACCCGCGUCUGAUUAGCCAGUUGGCAGGGUAACGGCCUACCAAAGCGACGAUCAGUAGCCGGCCUGAGAGGGUGGACGGCCACAUUGGGACUGAGACACGGCCCAG